rnacentral:rRNA from 1 species
GACGAACGCUGGCGGCGUGCCUAAUACAUGCAAGUCGAGCGAAGUUUUUCUGGUGCUUGCACCGGAAAAACUUAGCGGCGAACGGGUGAGUAACACGUAAAGAACCUGCCUCAUAGACUGGGACAACUAUUGGAAACGAUAGCUAAUACCGGAUAACAGCAUUAACUGCAUGGUUGAUGUUUAAAAGUUGGUUUUGCAAACACUAUGAGAUGGCUUUGCGGUGCAUUAGCUAGUUGGUGGGGUAAAGGCCUACCAAGGCGACGAUGCAUAGCCGACCUGAGAGGGUGAUCGGCCACACUGGGACUGAGACACGGCCCAGACUCCUACGGGAGGCAGCAGUAGGGAAUCUUCCGCAAUGGGCGAAAGCCUGACGGAGCAACGCCGCGUGAGUGAAGAAGGAUUUCGGUUCGUAAAGCUCUGUUGUUAGGGAAGAAUGAUUGUGUAGUAACUAUACACAGUAGAGACGGUACCUAACCAGAAAGCCACGGCUAACUACGUG